rnacentral:pre_miRNA from 1 species
GUAGUAUUCCCUCCGUCCCAAAAUUCUUGUCUUACAUUUGUUUAGAUAUGGAUGUAUCUAACACUAAAAUGUAACUAGAUACAUCCGUAUUUAGACAAAUUUAAGACAAGAAUUUUGGGACGGAGGGNGUUUAGA